rnacentral:rRNA from 1 species
UACGGAGGGUGCGAGCGUUGUCCGGAAUCACUGGGCGUAAAGGGCGCGUAGGUGGCCUGUGGAAGUCUGCGGUGAAAGCCCAGCGCUCAACGCCGGGUCGGCCGUGGAUACUCUCGGGCUCGAGCUUACUAGAGGCAGAUGGAAUUCCGGGUGUAGCGGUGGAAUGCGUAGAGAUCCGGAAGAACACCGGUGGCGAAGGCGGUCUGCUGGGGUAAUGCUGACACUGAUGCGCGACAGCGUGGGGAGCAAACAGG